rnacentral:rRNA from 1 species
GACAGAGGUUGCAAACGUUGUUCGGAUUUACUGGGCGUAAAGCGCGUGUAGGCGGCUUGGCAAGUCGGAUGUGAAAGCCCACGGCUCAACCGUGGAAGCGCAUCCGAAACUGCUUCGCUCGAGUCUCGGAGAGGAAGGUGGAAUGCUUGGUGUAGAGGUGAAAUUCGUAGAUAUCAAGCAGAACACCUGCGGCGAAGGCGGCCUUCUGGACGAUGACUGACGCUGAGACGCGAAAGCGUGGGGAGCAAACAGG